GUCCAGGAAUGGGAAUCGAACCCACAAUGUUCCGCUUACCGGGCAGAUGCCAUGUCCACUAAGCUACCCUGGA